rnacentral:rRNA from 1 species
CGAUGUGAUCAUACCAGCACUAAAGCACCGGAUCCCAUCAAAACUCCGAAGUUAAGCGUGCUUGGGCAAGAGUAGUACUAGGAUGGGUGACCUCCUGGGAAGUCCUCGUGUUGCAUUCC